GGGUGCAAUCAUGCCAGCACUAAUGCACCGGA
rnacentral:rRNA from 1 species